rnacentral:ncRNA from 2 species
UCGAUUGACGGAGAUGGCAUUCCUCCCGUAACCGCCGGUUGGCCGGCUAAUGAUGCCUACGGUUCC